CCGCAGCGCAGACCCCCCACUCCUGCACCGCAGCCCCUGCGCUGCCCGCCCUGCCCCACGCCCAGCCCCAUACCCUGCCCCACGACCGCGCCGCCAGCCCCUUCCCCACGGCGAAACAAAAGAUCCCCAUUAACGAGACGAACAAACGGCUCUGGGCCGGUUCCUAACGAAAUUUCCUCCCUCACGCUCCCUCCUCUUUCUUUUUUCUCCCCGCCAAAACCCAAGGCCCCUUCGGAGCUUGGGCACAGCCUUGGGCACUGUGUCCUGCCGCGGUUGCGGAGCGUGGGGAAAUCCGCGGGCAGUGAGCAGGGCUCAGCUCUAGAGAACGAUUCGUCUGAUCCGUGGGCUCCGACACCGGAGGGAAACGGGUUCCCACUCCCGUUCCGGGCUCGCAGACGGGCGGCUCUACCCCGCGGACCCGCACCGGGGCGGGGCUCCGCUGCUACCUUCAAACGGUACCCCCAUCUCAUGUAGAGAGUCUCCUUCCUUUAAAAUAAAUACCGCUAUUUUCGAUUUGCUCACAAACGCUCAUAUUUAUUUGUAAUGAAAAAGCCUGACUGUAUUUUUUCUUUAUUUAAAAUAUUUCCGAGGUGAGCAGCCAACAGAGCGAACAUUGGCAACGAGAAAUCCCCGUCCUGUGCUGUGACAACGACCAGCACAAGAAUCCAAAAGGAAAUCGGGUACAAAGCGACCGAAAUGCAUUUAAAGAAAAAAAAAAGUUUAUAUAAUAUAUAUAAAAUAUAUUUGUAUAUAAAAUGUAUAUUAAUAUAUGCUAUAUAUUAUACAUAGUAUAUAUAUUAUAAUAUAGAUUCCUUUAUUAAAUUUUUGUCUAUAUAAAUAAUACCCGCGGUGACGGCUUCUUUACCCCGAGGGGCUGCCGGCUCCCAGCGUGGCAGAGGCAGACGGUCCCCACAAAACGCGGAUAUAAUGUAGGAACGGCUCCGGUGAGGGGGUGAAGGCGGCGGAGAGAGGCGCACCCCCUCCUUCCUGGAGGGAUUAUCUCAUGUCAGUGCACAAAUAGGUCGGGAACACCGAGCGGGACCCUUUUUCGGCCUGGGGUUCGCAGCGUCCUGCCCGCGACGUGGCCCCAGUGGGCAGCGAUUAACGGGGACGUUAAAUCCAGCUGGGGAGGACGCAGGGCUCGGGCCGCCGCCGCCGUUUCGCUUCCUUACAGCCCUGGAAAACGACUGCUCCGAUGGACACCUCGGGGGGAAUUCAACGGUUUCUCUCUUUUUUCUUUUUUUUUUUUUUCUUUUCCCAAUUUAGCCCAAGCCAAGUUCAUUGUGAACGAAGACGUGGAAGAUACCUAUUGCUGGAGGCUGCAGGAAAUCAGGGAAGAAAGGACGAAAAUUCCCCCGCUACAUGGACUCCCAGCAAGGCUGGUUCUGCCUGAGGCCAGGUCCCUGGUUUGCUGCAGAAGCUACCAGCGGGAGCUACCAGCGGGCAUGCAGAGGACUCACAAACACAGUAUGAGGUACACUAUGGCUCACUGCCAGCAAGAACGGGAUGAGACAAGACCUUUUGCUUUCUGGUCUCUGUGGGAAAUGCUCCAGCAAUAGAUGAGCACAGGCAGAGGCAACAGCAAAGCUGGAAGAGAUCGACUGUGGAGGGAUGAUGUGGCACACUUCUCCCAUCGAUGCUCACUGUGUGACCGCUGCACUCAGCGUCUCACAGCCAUGGUGAGGACCCUUCAUGAGAGCACAAGAGGGUCUGCUGGGUGCCGUCCCCUUUCUUGCACAACUGAGGAGCUGCAGAGGAGAAAACCAAAACUAGAAGCCUCAGGAGUGAGAUUUAUGGCUUGGUUAAUAACAUCCUUCCCUUCCCAAUGACACCAGUGAAGAAAGAGAGGGC
ensembl:lncRNA